UACGUAGGGGGCAAGCGUUGUCCGGAAUUAUUGGGCGUAAAGAGCGUGUAGGCGGUCCGGUAAGUCAGCUGUGAAAGCCCCGGGCUCAACCCGGGAAGUGCACUCGAUACUGCAGAGCUUGAGUGUCGGAGAGGUUGGUGGAAUUCUCGGUGUAGAGGUGAAAAUUCGUAGAUAUCGAGAGGAACACCGGCGGCGAAGGCGGCCAACUGGACGACUACUGACGCUGAGACACGAAAGCGUGGGGAGCAAACAGG
rnacentral:rRNA from 1 species